UUAUCUUCUAAGUCAACUGUGGGUUGGGUAGGUGGCUCUGCUGAUUUUUCGCUGGACUUCCACAUUUGGGACCAGUUGGCUGUCAUCAGCUCUAGAAAGGGUGUGGCCGUUUUACAUUGGCUGUUUUCCUCACAUUCCUCAAGCAGGUACUGUAGUAAAGAACUGGAGAAAUACAGUCAGAUGGGAAGUAGCCCCUACUGUCAAGGAGCUUGCCAUCUAAUGGGGGAGACAUGCAAGUAAACCAAAGACUACACAGUGCAGUAUGGUAAGUGCCAUGAUUUUGAUGUGACAGGGCACAGUGGACGACCUUCCAAAUCAAAGCAAGUAACUAGGGGUUGACAAUGGUAAGUAUCAUAGUUGAAGUAUCCUUGAACAAGGUUUCAGGAAGAAGAAGAAGGGAAUUUCAUGCAGGGAAACAGCCAAAGCUCAGUGAGUCAAAAUAUCACAGCAUUCUUGGUAAGCCCAAUUUUUUUUUCUAUUUUGCUAUUUUGGUGGAGAGAAAGGAACACAUAAAGGAAUAACAUGAGAGAAAGCUAUUUGGGGAAGUGUAGUAGUUAAGGUUCUGGCUGCAAACAACAACUGCAGCUCAUUAAGUUGACUUUAGUGGAAGAAUACUGGGGUAUCUCAUGGAAUCUUGGGAACUGUUGAAUAACCAGGGAAACUCUGGGAAACUCACUGGUAGGAAUCCAUAAACUGUCCUCCUGGUGGGCUGUAAACAACUCACCCUCUAU
rnacentral:lncRNA from 1 species